rnacentral:rRNA from 1 species
UGGAACGAGCGGCGGACGGGUGAGUAACACGUGGGCAACCUGCCUGUAAGACUGGGAUAACCCCGGGAAACCGGGGCUAAUACCGGAUAAUACUUUUCAUCACCUGAUGGAAAGUUGAAAGGUGGCUUCUUGCUACCACUUACAGAUGGGCCCGCGGCGCAUUAGCUAGUUGGUGAGGUAACGGCUCACCAAGGCAACGAUGCGUAGCCGACCUGAGAGGGUGAUCGGCCACACUGGGACUGAGACACGGCCCAGACUCCUACGGGAGGCAGCAGUAGGGAAUCUUCCGCAAUGGACGAAAGUCUGACGGAGCAACGCCGCGUGAGUGAUGAAGGUUUUCGGAUCGUAAAGCUCUGUUGUUAGGGAAGAACAAGUGCCGUUCGAAUAGGGCGGCACCUUGACGGUACCUAACCAGAAAGCCCCGGCUAACUACGUGCCAGCAGCCGCGGUAAUACGUAGGGGGCAAGCGUUGUCCGGAAUUAUUGGGCGUAAAGCGCGCGCAGGCGGUCCUUUAAGUCUGAUGUGAAAGCCCACGGCUUAACCGUGGAGGGUCAUUGGAAACUGGAGGACUUGAGUACAGAAGAGGAGAGUGGAAUUCCACGUGUAGCGGUGAAAUGCGUAGAGAUGUGGAGGAACACCAGUGGCGAAGGCGACUCUCUGGUCUGUAACUGACGCUGAGGCGCGAAAGCGUGGGGAGCGAACAGGAUUAGAUACCCUGGUAGUCCACGCCGUAAACGAUGAGUGCUAGGUGUUAGGGGGUUUCCGCCCCUUAGUGCUGAAGUUAACGCAUUAAGCACUCCGCCUGGGGAGUACGGCCGCAAGGCUGAAACUCAAAAGAAUUGACGGGGGCCCGCACAAGCGGUGGAGCAUGUGGUUUAAUUCGACGCAACGCGAAGAACCUUACCAGGUCUUGACAUCCUCUGCAAUCGGUAGAGAUACCGAGUUCCCUUCGGGGACAGAGUGACAGGUGGUGCAUGGUUGUCGUCAGCUCGUGUCGUGAGAUGUUGGGUUAAGUCCCGCAACGAGCGCAACCUUUGAUCUUAGUUGCCAGCAUUUAGUUGGGCACUCUAAGGUGACUGCCGGUGACAAACCGGAAGAAAGGUGGGGGAUGACGUCAAAUCAUCCUGGCCCCUUAGGACCUGGGGCUACCACCGUGGCUACAAUGGGAUGGGAACAAAAGGGAAGCCAAAACCGCCGAGGGUCAGGCAAUUCCCCUUAAAAACCAUUCUUCAAUUUCGGAAUUGCAGGGUUGCAACUCCCCCCGGCUUGAACCCCGGAAUCCUUAGUAAUCCGCGGAAAACAAAAUGCCCCCGGGUGAAAACAUUUCCCGGGGCCUUUGGACAACCA